AAAAGCUUCAAACUGGGAUUAGAUACCCCACUAUGCUUAGCCAUAAACAAAGACAUUAAGAUACAACAAUGUUCGCCCGGAUACUACAAGCACGAGCUUAAAACCCAAAGGACCUGACGGUGCCUUAGACCCCCCUAGAGGAGCCUGUUCUAGAACCGAUUAUCCCCGUUAAACCUCACCAUUUCUAGUAAUAUCAGCCUAUAUACCACCGUCGCCAGCUUACCCUGUGAAGGUACAACAGUAAGCAAGAUGAACACAGUCCAAAAAGUCAGGUCGAGGUGUAGCAUAUGAAAUGGGAAGAAAUGGGCUACAUUUUCUAACACAGAAUAUAACGAAUAUGUAACAUGAAACAAUACUUGAAGGAGGAUUUAGUAGUAAAAGAGAAGUAGAGUGUCUCUUUGAACCCGGCUCUAA
rnacentral:rRNA from 1 species